GACGAACGCUGGCGGCGUGCCUAACACAUGCAAGUCGAACGGAAAGGCCCUGCCUUUGUGUGGUGCUCGAGUGGCGAACGGGUGAGUAACACGUGAGUACCCGUCCUUUGACUGGGGGAUAACUUCAGGAAACUGGUGCUAAUACCGGAUAGGACCUCCUACUACAUGGUGGGGCUUGGAAAUUUUCGGCGAUUGGGGAUGGACUCGCGGCUUAUCAGCUUUUUGGUGGGGUAGCGGCUUACCAAGGCAUUGACGGACAUCCGGCCUGAGAGGGUGACCAGGCACAUUGGGACUGAGAUAGGGCCCAGACGGAAACGUGGGACAGCGGUGGGAAGCAUUGCACAGUAGGCCGCAGCCUGAAACAACGACGUCGGGCUCGGAAUGACGGUUUUAGGGUAAUAAACCGCUUGAGCCUGUAACGAUGAGUGAGUGACGGUACCGGAUAAAGAGGCACCGGCUAACUACGUG
rnacentral:rRNA from 1 species